rnacentral:rRNA from 1 species
CCUACGGGAGGCAGCAGUGGGGAAUCUUGGGCAAUGGGGGAAACCCUGACCCAGCGACGCCGCGUGGGGGACGAAGGCCCUCGGGUCGUAAACCCCUGUUAGGUGGGACGAAUAUCCUCUGGUGAAUAGCCGGAGGAUGUGACGGUACCACCAGAGAAAGCCCCGGCUAACUCCGUGCCAGCAGCCGCGGUAAUACGGAGGGGGCGAGUGUUGUUCGGAAUUACUGGGCGUAAAGGGCGCGUAGGCGGCUUGGCAAGUCGAGUGUGAAAUCCCUUAGCUUAACUAAGGAAUUGCGUUCGAAACUACCUCGCUAGAGGGCGGGAGAGGGAAGUGGAACUCUCGGUGUAGGGGUGAAAUCUGUAGAUAUCGAGAGGAACACCGGUGGCGAAGGCGGCUUCCUGGCCCGUACCUGACGCUGAGGCGCGAAAGCGUGGGGAGCA